UACGUAGGGUGCAAGCGUUAAUCGGAAUUACUGGGCGUAAAGCGUGCGCAGGCGGCUUUGCAAGCCAGAUGUGAAAUCCCCGGGCUUAACCUGGGAAUGGCAUUUGGGACUGCAAGGCUUGAGUGCGGCAGAGGAGACUGGAAUUCCUGGUGUAGCAGUGAAAUGCGUAGAUAUCAGGAGGAAUACCGAUGGCGAAGGCAGGUCUCUAGGCUGACACUGACGCUCAUGCACGAAAGCGUGGGGAGCAAACAGG
rnacentral:rRNA from 1 species